GGCAGAGGUGGCUUAGUGGUUAAGGCUCUGGAUUACUGAUCGGAAGGUUGGAGGUUCAUGCCCUAGCACUGCCA